rnacentral:misc_RNA from 1 species
GGAGGGAUCAUUAACACGAAACACUCAAUUUAUUGAGUCGUAUCAAAUACCAACAAACCCCGUGAACUUGGACAACUUGUUGUCCAUUCGCCCCAUCAGAUUAAUCGUUAAAAAAGGUUGUAUUAUCGCUUGCGUGUUUAUACCUAUCAAUAAAUGUGAUGGUAUCAGUCUUUAGAUUGAUACUUAUUGAUAAUCAUAAACUGAUAAUACUUCUUCGUUUAAUAUGAUGGACCAAUUUUUUCGCAUCACGAAAUAAACAUACUUAACCUAUUUCACCCUAACCAUAUAAACAUUGACUGAUUUUUUUGUGUUUACUCUAGUAAUAGAGUAUAUUACAAAAUCAACUCGAUAUCAUCGAAAACUAAAAGCACAAACUCUUAGCAACGGAUAUCUUGGUUCUCGUAACGAUGAAGAACGCAGCGAAAUGCGAUAUGUAAUGCGAAUUGCAGAAUUCAGUGAAUCAUCAAAUCUUUGAACGCAAAUGGAGCUCUAGGGAUAGACCUCAGAGCACACCUCUCUCAGUAUCGGUUCAACCUCAAAUCAGCUGCGUAUUGGAUUUAUUCAAUGCCUAACCGCUGGAAAAUGAGAGUCACGAUUGUUUCACUUCGGUGCUUAUCAAUUGCGUCUUUUUAAAUAAUUAUUGAGUUUGAGCUAAUAAGCAAAUUAAUCAUAAUGUGAUCUUUAAACAUGUGACUUGUGUUCUUCGGAAUGCAAUAGCUUGUGCUAUAUAACUACAUUAUGUUUGAUGACAGUAUGUCAAUGCAACUCACACUAGUGACGUGGAUAAUUUGACUGUUUAUUCAGUUAAUCAUUGAAACGUCUCUUACUUUGAAUUGUAUUUGUACUAUUAUUGAACAUAAUCAUUCGUACAAUAGUGUAAGUGAUACCGCUAACCUAAAGUAAUUAUAUAAUGACAAUCUGUUUAUCUAAGCUAUAAACGAAAUUGAAAGAUGAUAGAUAAUUUAUUAUCAGUUAUUCUUUCUCUAAUUCGAAUUAGAUCUGAGAUGAAGUGAGAAAACCCCCUGAAUUUAAGCAUAUUAAUAAGGGGAGGAAAAGAAAAUAACAAUGAUUGCUCUAGUAACGGCGAGUGAAGCGGCAAUAGCUCAACAUGAAAAUCGUUGAUCCAAGCGGGUCUCCGAAAUGUAUCCUAGAGACGUAUUAUCAGCGCGUGACCUAGACAUAAGUCUUUUGGAAAAAAGCAUCAAAGAGGGUGAGAAUCCCGUCUAUUGGUUUAGAGUUCAUUCACCGCGUACGAUAUAUGUUCAACGAGUCGAGUUGUUUGGGAUUGCAGCUCUAAAUGGGUGGUAAGUUUCAUCUAAAGCUAAAUAUUGACGAGAGACCGAUAGCGAACAAGUACCGUGAGGGAAAGAUGAAAAGAACUUUGAAAAGAGAGUUAAAAAGUACUUGAAAUUGCUAAGAGGGAAGCGCUGAAAACCAGUGUCAUUGCUGUCAUUUUGCCUAUAUAUGUUUGAUUGCGUGUGCUAUAUGUUGGUAACUCCUGUAGUAUACGAAAAUUGGGUCAUAUGUGGGUCCUGUGAUAGUAAUAUGUCAGAAUCAGUUUGUUUCGUGGGAGAAGGGUAGGAGAAAGGUAGGUUUGUAGCAAUACAAACUGUUAUAGACUUCUAUCUCUACCAUGUCAUAGACUGAGGAAGUAAUGAUGCGCCACUAGGCUUUUAUCUCUGCUUCUAUUAUAUGAGUCGGCUUGGAUGUCAAUGACAUGCUGUUGAUAGAGUGUAAUACUAGGUGGAUGUAUAAAUAUGCAUUAUCACGAUUCUGACUAAAUGGUUUUCAUCGACCCGUCUUGAAACACGGACCAAGGAGUCUAACAUAUAUGCAAGUAUUUGGGGUUGUUAAACCCUGAUGCGUAAUGAAAGUAAAGAUAAGCUUGUCUUAUUGAGGUAGGAAAUCCUGUUAAAAAGGGAUGGCACUAUCGACCGAUCAUCACUUGUGAGAGAUUUGAGUAAGAGCAUAUCUGUUGGGACCCGAAAGAUGGUGAUCUAUGCCUGAACAGGGUGAAGCCAGGGGAAACUCUGGUGGAGGCUCGUAGCGAUACUGACGUGCAAAUCGUUCGUCUGAUUUGGGUAUAGGGGCGAAAGACUAAUCGAACUAUCUAGUAGCUGGUUCCCUC